GAUGAACGCUGGCGGCGUGCCUAAUACAUGCAUGUCGAGCGAACAGACGAGGAGCUUGCUCCUCUGACGUUAGCGGCGGACGGGUGAGUAACACGUGGAUAACCUACCUAUAAGACUGGGAUAACUUCGGGAAACCGGAGCUAAUACCGGAUAAUAUAUUGAACCGCAUGGUUCAAUAGUGAAAGACGGUUUUGCUGUCACUUAUAGAUGGAUCCGCGCCGCAUUAGCUAGUUGGUAAGGUAACGGCUUACCAAGGCAACGAUGCGUAGCCGACCUGAGAGGGUGAUCGGCCACACUGGAACUGAGACACGGUCCAGACUCCUACGGGAGGCAGCAGUAGGGAAUCUUCCGCAAUGGGCGAAAGCCUGACGGAGCAACGCCGCGUGAGUGAUGAAGGUCUUCGGAUCGUAAAACUCUGUUAUUAGGGAAGAACAAAUGUGUAAGUAACUAUGCACGUCCUGACGGUACCUAAUCAGAAAGCCACGGCUAACUACGUG
rnacentral:rRNA from 1 species